rnacentral:rRNA from 1 species
UGAGGAAUAUUGGUCAAUGGGCGCAAGCCUGAACCAGCCAUCCCGCGUGAAGGAAGAAGGCGCUAUGCGUCGUAAACUUCUUUUUCAGUGGAAGAAUGUUGGGUACGUGUACCCAAUUGCCGGUACCCUGUGAAUAAGCAUCGGCUAACUCCGUGCCAGCAGCCGCGGUAAUACGGAGGAUCCGAGCGUUAUCCGGAUUUACUGGGUUUAAAGGGUGCGUAGGCGGGCCCCUCAGUCAGCGGUGAAAGUCUGCGGCUCAACCGUAGGAUUGCCGUUGAUACUUGGGGCCUUGGAUUCGGUCGAGGCGGGCGGAAUGCGUGGUGUAGCGGUGAAAUGCUUAGAUAUCACGCAGAACGCCGAUUGCGAAGGCAGCUCGCCGGGCCGAUAUCGACGCUGAGGCACGAAAGCGUGGGGAUCGAACA